GCGCUAGCGUUUUCCCUUACUAGUAAAGGGGCUGCUAGUUGUAGCGCGCAGUGUACUAGUGAAUAGGAACAGCGGAUUGAGAUUACUAAUGACGGAUGGAGGUUGAGGAUAGAACAUGUUCGGUGCCUCGCCCUUGUCUCCUUCGCCGUAGACUGCAAAUGAUGGGAAUUCUAUCGAUAAAGAAGAGGCAUAGGCAUCGCCCCUCGAUCCAAUCCGUCUUCCCUGGCCUCCCCAACACACUCUUGAUACGAAAAAAACCUCCCACCAUAGAGAAGAGAUCUAAAGUCUGGGUCCCCUCGAUCACCCUUUCCAAAGGAAAGCCUGAACUGGUCGAGAGAGAUGAACCCGCACCACAUUUUUUAACCUUCGAACCGAAACCCCCAACUAGAGAUGGAAUUCCAGAACCUAAACAACUCAGUUGAGAGCUCCGUGACCGUUCAAGGGAAGGUCCACCAAUGAUUGAUAGGCUAUUCCCCCCCUAUCCGUCUCUUGAUCCCUCAUUCCACUAAUCCGUUGUUACUGAUUCAUUCAAGGCAUAGACUCCCCACUUCUUUGUCUUAUUAGCGCAGGUGUUCGUCAACGAUGAAAGCCGCUGAACUUAAGACUCUUUUUGAGAAAGAGGGCUAGGCCCAGGAGAGGAGGGCUUUCAGGGACUGGGGAAGACGGGUGGAUUAUAGAGCUAAGGGCGGAUCGAAGGUUUGUCCAUUGGGAUUGGGCAUGGACGAGCCUCUCCUUUACAGUCGAGUAUCUUCAAACCUCUCCUGGGCCAUCAUUGAUGAAAAAAUGAAAUAAUCAAAACUUCUCCCAUCGCGUCAUUAACCGGUGUAGGAUUAAAGAUCAGGUCCAGGAUUCGAGUCAAAUCGACCUUCCCUCUCAUCCCAGGGUUUGGCAAGGAAUUCAAUCAAAUGUUCGUUGUUCAAUAUCUCGGCUGCUCAAGAAGUUGGACUAGCUGCUCCUCCGACCCGGAGUGGAUUCUAGGGGAAGGGCAGAGCCUCACCUUUCAGUAGGAAGGUGUUCGUUGCUGGGACGGGUUCAAACUGGUGAAGGGAGGAGGAAUUCAAUACUCCGAUCUUACUGGGGAUUCAUCACUGGCUAGGGCUUUCGAAUCAAAGCAUGGGCAUCUGCAACUAAGAGGGAGCAGUAGAUCGUCGAUUGACGAGCCGGGUCAGUAAACUUCUAUUGGGACUUCUAUUGAUUAUUGAUUCGACUAGAGGGGCUCCUAGCAGCAAACUUGUAUGAAGGGCCCCCAUGGAGACGCAGGAGAUGCAGGAGCCGCCAGCCGGAUCGACCAAUAAAUGAUAGGCCAGAGGGAUGGGCUCAUUCGACUAAUCAGAGAUCCCUGGCCCUACCUAAACAGAGAUGUCCCUGAAAUAGGGGAUUGGUUGAUCGGAAAGCUCAGGCAGGAGUAGGACAUUCCAACAAAAUCUUUCUGAUCCGCUAGCCUUUCGCUCCUCUCCUUUCAGUCGAGCUUCCGUUGGUCGCCUCUAAAAUCCCAUUUUUUCAUCGACAGGUAGGGUGAUUCCUUAUUCCGGUUGUAAAGCGGAAGAAGAGGGAGAAUGGGCACAGCCCCACCAGCAGUCCGCGUUUUUGACCUGAAAGGAAUUGAAAAUGAAACAAAAAUCUGUGUUCACUAUCUAUGGAGUGGAGUGACUAUCUAUCCUUAAUCUCCUCUUCCCUAUCUCCCCCUUUUUUCCUUUCCUUUCUCGCCGGCAGGAGAAUCCAUUUCUUUUCUUGUAUUGUUUAUUAUGAUUGAUCUGUAGAAAAAGGGCACUCUUCCUAAUCCGAGUUUGAGAUGGAAUAAGACCCAGACGUAGAGUCCCGUCGGCCGGGAAGGGAUUUUUUCUAUUCAUUUUUUGACUCCCUUCUGGUCUUCGAGGGAAAGCCCUUUCCAGAUGGAGUAGUGCAUCUCUGUCUUGAAAGCCCGCCCGAACUCCUAUCUCUACUGCCUAUCCAACCCGAAGAUUCUUUUUCGUGGUGGAGUACUUCGAAUAGGAUCCGAUCCCAUCCCAGCAGUCAAACUCCUUCCUGACCCGGCUCACCUGCCUCUGAAGCUGGAAUGCCUUUAUUUUAUAGAGGAGACUACCCGAGGAAU
rnacentral:misc_RNA from 1 species